rnacentral:rRNA from 1 species
AAACGUAGGACGCAAGCGUUAUCCGGAGUUACUGGGCGUAAAGCGCGAGCAGGCGGCUUUCUUAAGUCUGAUGUGAAAGCGCCCCGGCUCAACCGGGCGAGGCCAUUGGAAACUAGGGAGCUGGAGGGCAGUAGAGGCAGGCGGAAUUCCGGGUGGAGUGGUGAAAUGCGUAGAGAUCCGGAGGAACACCAGAGGCGAAGGCGGCCUGCUGGGCUGCACCUGACGCUGAGCCGCGAAAGCCAGGGGGAGCGAACGGGG